AUCCAUCUGACGUGUCCCAAAUAGGGAGAAAGGCGAGUCAUGGAU
rfam:Schistosoma curassoni strain Dakar, Senegal genome assembly, scaffold: SCTD_contig0000348